CUAUAUGGGUCAGCAACAAAUGGAUGUAAAAAAAUGGGUUGAAGUUUAUGCCUUCCCAAUCUCGGUUUCUCCUUCACCUUCUUCAUCUUAUGCAAGGAUGCAGAGAUCUACUGAUAUGAAUGUAUCAAAUCCAGAUGAUAUAAGUAAAUUUCCAUUUAAUUUUUCCGAUAGAAAUUGUUUCAUGGUUGAAACCCUAACCCUCUUGUUACAGUUUAAAACCCUUAUUUCCGUCUUCUUAUUUAGAUACUAGGGAAUUCAAUCGAAUUAAAUAAUUUUUCUCGAAUUAAUUUUUCCUUCUUUGGAAACUGAAAUAGAAAUUUGAUUUAUUCCUACAGAAUUAAUUUAUAUUUUGGAGAGGUCAAACUGAUAUUGUGUUAAAUGUGAUGGUAUUUCAAGGAAAUUGAUACCAUUUUACCAGAAAUCCAUCCUCCUUGUUUGGUUUUUGGUCUGUAUAGUUAGGUUGUAAAACCCCCAUAUCAAUUGACUACAGGGUGCGAGAAAUUAGAUACAAACAAAUUUGAAAACCCUCAUACUAGAAACCCAUCCUUCAUUUUUUUGGUUUUUUGUCUGUGUAGUUAGGUUGUAAAACCCCCAUAUUAUAAAGCCACUGCGUUGUAUUUUGAUUAGUAUAUUGAUAUAGUAGAUAUUGGAAGAAUGUUUUUAUGAAUGGUUAGGUGUUGACGACAACGAUGUGGUUGAUGUUAUUUUGUGUCUGGCGGUAGAAUUAGUGAUCGGUCAGGCAAUGAACCCAGGUACAACGUUGGUAUGAAUAUGUUCCAAAAAAUGUCGAACUCCAUGUCCGUGGUUGAAUUUACCAAGAUGGUGUAUUAGUUGUUCCGUCUUAAAGCUAAAUCUUUCACACAAGUAGUUAUGAAUUUUCCGAAUGAUGCAGCGCAGCAUCUUGGUCAGUUGGUUUCUAAACCUACUUCUACAUUUAUUUAUAAUAAUUCCUCUUGGUUAAUGUAUAAUAAUUCCUCUUGAAAAUCAGUGAGCAGCAGGCACAUGCUGUAAUUGUUGUUAGAGCUACUUCAACAGCGCAAGUUUAAAGUGCUGUGUAUUACAGUUUGAAACACUCGUAUGCUAUUUUUUAUCUGGAACGUCAUCUUAACCCUGUAUCCUUUCGAAGUGUAAAUCAUAUAUCUCGGUUGUCAUGAGAAGGAGACAAAAUUUCCAUUUACAACUUGAUUUUUUGCAGCUACUAUAUUUUGAACAAGACGUGGAUGAAGGUUACAGGUUGGCUUUACAGAUGUAUUAGGGUCAUAUUCAUAAAGCGAAGCAAGGAGAUGAUUUCACAAAUGCCCAUGAUCCAUUAUAUGGAUUCUCCAAUCCAUCAUAUCCUGAGCUUGACUUUCACCAGGCUUAUAUUUAUUUAUAUUAAUGCAUUGCUUCAAUUUUCAAACCUUCCAAGUUUGCUGAAGUUGUAAGAUUUAAUGUUCUUCUUAACAAUUUCAAAGAAAUUUGAGGUAUUGUUCUUCUUUAUCUUAAAAGAAAUUAUUCUUAACAGUUUCA